UGGAGCGGUGUCCGAGUGGUUGAAGGAGACGGUUUCGAAAACCGUUGAACUCGCGAGGGUUCCGGGGGUUCGAAUCCCCCCUGCUCCGAC
rnacentral:tRNA from 1 species